AGAGCUCAAAGUUGGAACCUGUUUGGCCUAGCUAAACAGGAUUGUAAACUGUAGAAGUGUUUUCCAGGCAAUCCGAGUUAAUAAGUCCUUUGGAACAGGGCAUCAUAGAGGGUGAGAAUCCCGUCUUUGAUUCGAGAUAUUUUGUCUUUUGCGAUACACUUUCAAAGAGUCAGGUUGUUUGGGAAUGCAGCCUAAAUUGGGUGGUAAAUCUCACCUAAAGCUAAAUAUUGGCGAGAAACCGAUAGCGAACAAGUACCGUGAGGGAAAGAUGAAAAGAACUUUGAAAAGAGAGUUAAACAGUAUGUGAAAUUGUUAAAAGGGAACCGUUUGGAGCCAGACUGGCUUGUCUGUAAUCAAUCUAGGUUUCGUGCCUGGAUGCACUUGCAGACUAUUUGCCUGCCAACGACAAUUUUUUUUGAGUGUAAAAACUAUUGGAAAUGUGGCCAAUAUUUAUUUAUUGGUGUUAUAGUCCUUUAGAAAAUACCUUGAAUUGGAUUGAGGAACGCAGCGAAUGCUUCUCUUUUGAGGCAAAGUCUUUUAUUGGGAUUUACGGAUCAGACUGUGGCAUUGUCACAAGACUUGAAGUUUAAACCUAUUUUUGAACUUUUAUUCGCUUAGGUUGUUGGCUUAAUGACU
rnacentral:rRNA from 1 species